rnacentral:rRNA from 1 species
AUUGAACGCUGGCGGCAUGCUUUACACAUGCAAGUCGAACGGCAGCACGGGUGCUUGCACCUGGUGGCGAGUGGCGAACGGGUGAGUAAUGCAUCGGAACGUAUCCAAUAAUGGGGGAUAACGCAUCGAAAGGUGUGCUAAUACCGCAUACGCCCUGAGGGGGAAAGUGGGGGACCGUAAGGCCUCACGUUAAUGGAGCGGCCGAUGCCUGAUUAGCUAGUUGGUGAGGUAAAGGCUCACCAAGGCGACGAUCAGUAGCUGGUCUGAGAGGAUGAUCAGCCACACGGGGACGGAGACACGGCCCAGACUCCUACGGGAGGAAGCAGUGGGGAAUUUUGGACAAUGGGCGCAAGCCUGAUCCAGCCAUGCCGCGUGAGUGAAGAAGGCCUUCGGGUUGUAAAGCUCUUUCGCAAGGGAAGAAAACUUAGUUCUUAAUACGAGCUGAGGAUGACGGUACCUUGAUAAGAAGCACCGGCUAACUACGUGCCAGCCGCCGCAGUAAAAC